rnacentral:tRNA from 1 species
GGGCCUUUAGCUCAGUUGGUUAGAGCCCCCGACUCAUAAUCGGUCUGUCACUGGUUCAAGUCCAGUAAGGCCCA